AGCAGCCGCCGCGGUAAUACGUAGGGUGCAAGCGUUAACCGGAAUUACUGGGCGUAAAGCGUGCGCAGGCGGUUUGUUAAGACAGAUGUGAAAUCCCCGGGCUCAACCUGGGAACUGCAUUUGUGACUGGCAAGCUAGAGUCUGGCAGAGGGGGGUGGAAUUCCGCGUGUAGCAGUGAAAUGCGUAGAUAUGCGGAGGAACACCGAUGGCGAAGGCAGCUCCCUGGGCCAACACUGACGCUCAUGCACGAAAGCGUGGGGAGCAAACAGGAUUAGAUACCCCCGUAGUCCCUGUCUCUUAUAC
rnacentral:rRNA from 1 species